rnacentral:rRNA from 1 species
GAUGAACGCUGGCGGCGUGCCUAAUACAUGCAAGUCGAGCGAACGGACGAGAAGCUUGCUUCUCUGAUGUUAGCGGCGGACGGGUGAGUAACACGUGGAUAACCUACCUAUAAGACUGGGAUAACUUCGGGAAACCGUAGCUAAUACCGGAUAAUAUUUUGAACCGCAUGGUUCAAAAGUGAAAGACGGUCUUGCUGUCACUUAUAGAUGGAUCCGCGCUGCAUUAGCUAGUUGGUAAGGUAACGGCUUACCAAGGCAACGAUGCAUAGCCGACCGGAGAGGGUGAUCGGCCACACUGGAACUAAGACAAGGUCCAGACUCCUACGGGAGGCACCAGUAGGGAAUCGUCCGCAAUGGGCGAAAACCUGACGGAGCAACGCCGCGUGAGUGAUGAAGGUCUUCGGAUCGUAAAACUCUGUUAUUAGGGAAGAACAUAUGUGUAAGUAACUGUGCACAUCUUGACGGUACCUAAUCAGAAGGCCACGGCUAAAUACGUG